UCCCUACUUCUUUAAAAGACCAAGCAAGAGGCUGUGUAUGUAUAAAAUUUUGCUCGCCCAUCCUUUCCAUGAAACAUUUGUGAUUUAAGCUUUAAGAAUCUUUGUGGGAUGAUUCUCCCCUCUUCCCAUUGCAAUAGACUUCUUAAUAAAAUGUUUUCAAGUUCCUGUCCAGAUUGGAUGACUUACUAUAGUGGUAAUGGUGCCAUGAUUUGAACAAAAUUCUGGCUGCCCCUCAACUGUUGUUUUUCUUCAACUUGCUGUGAUUGGACAGUAUGCUGACUUCCAGCCUGCUCUCUUCAGGCAAGUGGUGGUGCUGUCUCGUUAAACUCUUUGAAACCUGACUUGGAAAGCAAAAUCAAAAAUGACAAAAGCCUAGGAUAACUGCCAUCUGGAAGGCUUCACCCAACAACUGAUGCAAGCUGAUGCUGAGACCCAUGACUGAACAUUAGGUGGAGCUUGGGUAAUCCUGUGGGAGAUAGAAGAAGGAUUAAGGAAGCCAGGGAGACACCACAGGGACAUCUAUGGAAUCAAGUAACCUGGGCCUGUAGGGUCUCACAGAGACUGAACCACCGACCAAAAAGCAUGCAUGGGACAGACCUGGGCCCUCUGCAUGUAGACAACAAUCUUUAAUGAAAGUAUAAAUAAAGGAGCAUUUGGAACGA
rnacentral:lncRNA from 1 species